UCAACAAUCACUAUAUCCACU
rnacentral:piRNA from 1 species